rnacentral:rRNA from 1 species
AUUGAACGCUGGCGGCGUGCUUAACACAUGCAAGUCGAACGGUAACGGGUCCUUCGGGAUGCCGACGAGUGGCGAACGGGUGAGUAAUAUAUCGGAACGUGCCCAGUAGUGGGGGAUAACUGCUCGAAAGAGCAGCUAAUACCGCAUACGACCUGAGGGUGAAAGGGGGGGAUCGCAAGACCUCUCGCCAUUGGAGCGGCCGAUAUCAGAUUAGCUAAUUGGUGGGGUAAAGGCCUACCAAGGCAACGAUCUGUAGUUGGUCUAAGAGGACGAACAGACACACUGGGACUGAGACACGGCCCAGACUCCUACGGGAGGCAGCAGUGGGGAAUUUUGGACAAUGGGCGCAAGCCUGAUCCAGCAAUGCCGCGUGCAGGAAGAAGGCCUUCGGGUUGUAAACUGCUUUUGUCAGGGAAGAAAUCUUCUGGGCUAAUACCCCGGGAGGAUGACGGUACCUGAAGAAUAAGCACCGGCUAACUACGUGCCAGCAGCCGCCGUAAAAC